AUUGAACGCUGGCGGCAGGCUUAACACAUGCAAGUCGAGCGGAGAUGAGGUGCUUGCACCUUAUCUUAGCGGCGGACGGGUGAGUAAUGCUUAGGAAUCUGCCUAUUAGUGGGGGACAACAUUCCGAAAGGAAUGCUAAUACCGCAUACGCCCUACGGGGGAAAGCAGGGGAUCUUCGGACCUUGCGCUAAUAGAUGAGCCUAAGUCGGAUUAGCUAGUUGGUGGGGUAAAGGCCUACCAAGGCGACGAUCUGUAGCGGGUCUGGGAGGAUGAUCCGCCACACUGGGACUGAGACACGGCCCAGACUCCUACGGGAGGCAGCAGUGGGGAAUAUUGGACAAUGGGCGGAAGCCUGAUCCAGCCAUGCCGCGUGUGUGAAGAAGGCCUUUUGGUUGUAAAGCACUUUAAGCGAGGAGGAGGCUCUCCUAGUUAAUACCUAGGAAGAGUGGACGUUACUCGCAGAAUAAGCACCGGCUAACUCUGUGCCAGCCGCCGCCGUAAAAC
rnacentral:rRNA from 1 species